GGACUGGAUAUCAGACCAAGAUUCUGAUAAAAGGGGAUAACAGAGAUUAACCGGAGCAGAAAAAGUACUUUUCUGAGCCAGAGAUAACAAGAGAAACUUAAAGAAAGUGCUGAAGCAAGAAACUUUAAGCCUGUGAGUAGGAUGAACCUAACCAGUUGGCAGUGCCUCGUACUCUGUGAUGGAUUUUCCGAAGACCAAAUGUACCAUUUUCUUGUCUUUUCAAAGAGAGCCACACAGGAAGGAAAACAAGAAAUUCAACUUUUAAGCUGGGCUAUUCAUGGCCUUUGCUAAAUCCUGGCAGAAUUUCACAGUUCUUCAUUACAAUUCAUCUCACUGAUUUCCUAAUGCAAUGAACUGGCCUUUUCAUUAAGGCCAUAGGGAAUGAAGCUGAGUUACCCAAUCAUUAAGUGUUGUUAUCUGAUGAGUGAAAAAUGGAUUACUUUUCGAUGUGCAUUUGGGGAGCCGUGUGUGUGUGUGUGUGUGUUUCCACUAGAUUCCAUUUUGCGAAAAUUGGUUCAAGUGGAAGGACAGGGUUAAUCUUUCAUGUUCUGUUCUGCUAGAACACUAUAUGGCUUUCUGCUCUGUGAGCAGGCAAAGAAAAAUUGGUGGGCUCAGGAAUCAGAAAUGCAGGGCCAACAGUCCUGUUUCUCACUUUCGAUAAAGGCCAACAUUUUACCUGCUCAAGAACACUCUAUUCCUUUAACCAACGGGAGUGUUAUUUAAUUAGUUCCUUCGUUUUUCAGCUAAAGCAGACACAUGCGCACAUCACACACACAUGCAUGCGCUGUGGUGUUUUUUCUUCUAUCACCCCUCCCUCCACAGAGAUAUCAAUUUGCAUAAGAGGAGAAAAUAAAUUCAUUUAAACCCCAUUCUAAAUUCAGUAUUAGAAAUGUAAUGAUCUCUAACACUGACCUUUUUAAAAUACUUUGUGGAUAAACCAUUGAUUUUAUUUGUUCUAAAUUUACUUUAAAAGACCUGUUUUGUAAAUCACUAAAACACAUGUAUUUUAUUUACCUGUUUGGGAUAAUAUUAAACAUAAUCUUUGAGGGUA
rnacentral:lncRNA from 1 species